AGGACGGGGUAGUAAGAGGAGUUUUGAUUCAAUACAAGGAGCAUAUCAUCGAACGCCCUUUGCAACUCGUUUGUCCACUUGAGAUCCGAAGUUGUGAGUCAGCGUCCACGAAACCAGCUGACAAUCUCGAAGCAGAAGACGAAAGGGAAACCAGGGAUCAAAGACCAACCAGAGAUGCAGCAAAGAGAGCUAAAGAACUCGUUAAAAUUAUCGCGAUGGAUGAAGAAGACAAUUGACUAGGAAGAGAACUGUAAUAUAAAAAUGAACAAUUGACAUUUUUAUAGGGGAGUGUGUGCGGGUUAACCCCCCGCGGAAUUAGGUUGAUAGAACCCCCCUGAACUAGAUCACGUGACGAACUGGUGUUGUUGUUGUUGAGACUUGAGAGAGAAUUAUAUUAUUUUAUUUCGUGAGCAUUAACUUUAUGUCGUUAUAAUUUGAUUAUUCGAGCUUUUAUAAAUAAAGUUUUUAUGUUUAAUUAUUUGUGAGUGUAUAUCGGAACGAUUCGGUAUA